CCCGUCUGGAGGCGGUGGGUAGUGUCGUGAAGAAUUCCUGAAAACGAAAUCGAGACAAGUGAUCAGCACUGAUGUUUGUGCACCCUGGAACGUGAAUACAUGUUAGAAAGAAUUGACAAGUGGCUGCUAUCCAUGUGAGUCGCCUCAAUAGCCUCAUAAUUACCAGGGAUGAAGAACGGCCUUUAUUGACAAUAUGGCAAGUAGCCAUAUUAUCAGAAUAG